rnacentral:rRNA from 1 species
UAAAUUGAGAGUUUGAUCCUGGCUCAGGAUGAACGCUGGCGGCGUGCUUAACACAUGCAAGUCGAGCGAUGAAGUUUCCUUCGGGAAACGGAUUAGCGGCGGACGGGUGAGUAACACGUGGGUAACCUGCCUCAUAGAGUGGAAUAGCCUUCCGAAAGGAAGAUUAAUACCGCAUAAUGUUGAAAGAUGGCAUCAUCAUUCAACCAAAGGAGCAAUCCGCUAUGAGAUGGACCCGCGGCGCAUUAGCUAGUUGGUGGGGUAACGGCCUACCAAGGCGACGAUGCGUAGCCGACCUGAGAGGGUGAUCGGCCACAUUGGGACUGAGACACGGCCCAGACUCCUACGGGAGGCAGCAGUGGGGAAUAUUGCACAAUGGGGGAAACCCUGAUGCAGCAACGCCGCGUGAGUGAUGAAGGUUUUCGGAUCGUAAAGCUCUGUCUUUGGGGAAGAUAAUGACGGUACCCAAGGAGGAAGCCACGGCUAACUACGUGCCAGCAGCCGCGGUAAUACGUAGGUGGCGAGCGUUAUCCGGAUUUACUGGGCGUAAAGGGAGCGUAGGCGGAUGAUUAAGUGGGAUGU